ACACACACACACACACAGUGUAUACAGUUGUGUAGUGUACGCUAGUGUUACUGCAGUGUGUUGUGGUGUGUUAUACUCUACUGCUGUGUCGGGUCAUGUGUUUACUGGUGUAGUUGUUGUGUUGCCGUAGUGACCGCAGCAUCACCACAGCAGACAAACUCACAGAACCCGUGUUUACUGCAGGAUUACCAUAGUAACACUGUCCGAGUGCUGAUGAGGAGGAGACGGCAGAUCAACACCACACACACAUGGAGGAACAGCAGGAGCGGGGUGUGUGUGUGUGUGUGUGUGUGUGUGUCCCUCAGCUGCUUCUGCUGCAACAGGCUCACCUGCGCGCUCUGGAUCUGCAGGUGAUGCAGCAGCUGCUCUCCAUCAAUGAGGGUCUGGAAUCGGUACGCUGUGAGCUACAGGAGGCGGAGCCAGGGGGUGGAGCCAGCAGCUUGACUGGCAGCUUCUGCAGCCUAUCAGAUAGCCAGGGGGCGUCGCCACACAGCAGCUGCAGCGACGGAUUGGACGAGAUCUCAGUGGGCAGUUACCUGGACACGCUGGGAGAAGAAGAGCUGGAGCACAGCGGAGUGAAGGAGGAGGAGGAGGAGGAGCGCCGCCGUGUGGAGGAGCCGCAGUAUUACUGCUUCACUUAGCAGCGCCGCACGCUAACACACACACACACACACACUGAAGCGCUGACGCUCAGAGUCUCCAACACCGCUGACGCUCCGCUCUCACUGUUCACAUCUCCCGCAGGAUGCCGAGUCUGCGUUCACACUCUCAGCUCUCACUCCGGUAGUCUGACAUGCCCCGCCCCUUCUUCUCAUUGGCUGUUCAUCUGAUGCACUUGAGAUCAGCCACUCCCACUGGAGAGAAAACAACACGCUAUUGGCUGAGUUUUAACAAGAGGAGGAGCUACUCUAUGCCCCGCCCUCUUGAGUUGAGAUUGCGUCACACGUCCAACAACAGCAGAGACACCCUAACCCUGAACACCACAGCUCCAGCACUGCUAGCGGCUAACGCUGACCUUCAGCUCAAUGACUGUGUGUGUGUGUGUGGGUGUGUGUGUGUGUGUGUUCAUCAGGGAUACUCAGACAGCUGAACUCCAUCAUUUGUGUGUGUGUGUGUGAACGCAGCUGUCGUUGCUCUCUGUUAGAUCGCACCUGUUCACAUGCUAAUGCUAACGGGCUAGCGUGUGCUGCUAUGCUAACUCCCUUUAUUCCUGAGGUUUCACUGAAGUGCCCUCCUGCCGAUGCCAAAGUCUGACUCAGGACUGAUGGAGCAGGCGUCUGUGGCUCAUCUGUGUGUGUGUGUGUGUGUGUGUGUGUGCUGUAAUGAGUGUUGCGUCGUGUCGGCGCGUCUCGUCUCGGUGUUUUGUCUGUUUUUAUGAAUAAACAUUGUGCAGUGUG